UACGUAGGGUGCAAGCGUUGUCCGGAAUUAUUGGGCGUAAAGAGCUCGUAGGCGGUCUGUCGCGUCUGCUGUGAAAACCUGGGGCUUAACCCCGGGCCUGCAGUGGGUACGGGCAGACUAGAGUGCGGUAGGGGAGACUGGAAUUCCUGGUGUAGCGGUGAAAUGCGCAGAUAUCAGGAGGAACACCGGUGGCGAAGGCGGGUCUCUGGGCCGUAACUGACGCUGAGGAGCGAAAGCCAGGGGAGCGAACGGG
rnacentral:rRNA from 1 species